rnacentral:rRNA from 1 species
GAUGAACGCUGGCGGCGUGCCUAAUACAUGCAAGUCGAGCGAACGGACGAGAAGCUUGCUUUUCUGAUGUUAGCGGCGGACGGGUGAGUAACACGUGGAUAACCUACCUAUAAGACUGGGAUAACUUCGGGAAACCGGAGCUAAUACCGGCUAAUAUUUUGAACCGCAUGGUUCAAAAGUGAAAGACGGUCUUGCUGUCACUUAUAGAUGGAUCCGCGCUGCAUUAGCUAGUUGGUAAGGUAACGGCUUACCAAGGCAACGAUGCAUAGCCGACCUGAGAGGGUGAUCAGCCACACUGGAACUGAGACACGGUCCAGACUCCUACGGGAGGCAGCAGUGGGGAAUCUUCCACAAUGGGCGAAAGCCUGACGGAGCAACGCCGCGUGAGUGAUGAAGGUCUUCGGAUCGUAAAGCUCUGUUAUUAGGGAAGAACAGAUGUGUAUGUAACUGUGCACAUCUUGACGGUACCUAAUCAGAAAGCCACGGCUAACUACGUG